rnacentral:misc_RNA from 1 species
GAGAGAGAGAGAGAGAGAGUGUGUUAAGAAAGCUGCAAUCAGAGACAUUUGGCAUUCCAAUUCAGUUUAUCUGAAUUCCCUUCUCUUAAGUUGGUUCCUUAAGGUUACCCAUUUUUCUGAUAACAAAAAUCAACUUCAAAACUUAGAACUGUCCAUUCCACAUUAGCAGGUGAUAAGUCGGUUCCAUAAGUCAGGCAAUAAGCAGUCUGACUAGGAACUUACUACAACAGCACAACUGCAGUAGGUGCAAUCACGGGAAAGAGAUUAAUAACAGCAAACCAUUGCAACACACUUUCAUAUUAUUUCCUAGAAAACAAUUUGAGUGGCUAACAACUUCAGAAUUGCAAGUGUGUCAGAUAUUAAGUAUAUUACCUAAAUGCAAAACCGACUUCUAGAACAAAUGAUUGCGGCAACUUAACUAGACUGAACCCAGCUUUGUUAAAUAUCACAGUAAAUUGGACAUAAAAUUAAAGAGAUCUUGUAUUGUUUGCUUGGAAAUUAAUUACAAAGUUGAAAGAAAUUAAAUAAUAAGGCUUGGAAAUUAAAUGCAAAACUGCAAAAAUAAAAGACUAAUAAAAUAAGUGAUAAAUUAGCUGAUGGAGUCUGAUUUGGUUGAUUGAUUGAAUUGUUGGGGCCUUUCCUUUAGCAAGUCACCAUCUAUUCAUAGCUUCACCUCAAGGAACUUGGAAGCCUCUGGAACCCAUUAACUUCACAUUCUGCACUUCAAAGAAGUUACCGUCCACUACUUGAAACUGCUUCUAACUCCCCACUCUGCAGAUAUCCACCUUAUAACUCCCCACUUAAUAUUAACUUCUACUCAUAAUUAUCACCAAAAUAAUAAAAUAAGUAUUCAUUUAGGCCUCAUAAUUAAAUUAAUACAAUAAAAUUAAUUAAAUUAAUUUCACAUAAAAAUUAACUUAAUUAAUCAUGGGCUAAAAAAUAAUUAAUGAUAAAAAUUAAUUAUUUUGGUGCAAACAUAUAUUACGGGCAUGAUGAUAGAAGAUGCAAGGCAAUAAAAAGCAUGCUAGUAAAUCAUUAUGUUAAACAGAAGGAAGACAAAAUCAGUAUGUAAAACAAAGAUGGAAUAUACUGUUCCAAUGUUUCAAGAUUUGAGACCACAUCAAUACCUCCUAAUUACAGAGACACCACAUAACCUCUUACAGAAAUCCACACCAGUGUAUACGGACCCAGUGGGAGUGGUCACCUGCUUUUCUGUAAAUGGUAGAUGUCCCAGACCAUGUUCAACAACCUUUCAAAAGUACAAGAAAGUUCAUGUACCAAUAUACAAUACAAAAGCAAAAACUUGCGAUAUGAAGUGGAAAAAAAAAUCAACCAAUUGGUGGCAAAGAAAUAAAUAAUAAAUAAAUAUACCAAGCGAAUCAACCGAUCAGCAUAAAAAACAAAGUCGUGUUUUGUUGUUUGAGAAUCGCGUAUAAGGGUAUGCAUACCUCGUAUCUGCAAGAGAAUAACAACAAUUAUUGGAUUUAAAUAAGCAAAAACUACUAGAUAUUGAACCAAAUGAACCACUGAUAUAUGCUUUGUGAUCAAAAUUAACUCCAUAAAAGGUAGUUAUCACAGUGUUAGGCAGAAGUAGUACACGAAGCCAUACCUGAAAAGUUGAUUGAAUGACAUACAAAUUAUGGUAUAUUUUACAAAGAUCAUGUUGACCAAGCUUUGUACGAAUAUGCUGUACAAUCAAAUCAACAGCUACAUGAUUAUCUCCUCCUCGGGGAAUUAUUAUAUCUGCAUAUUUCUUUGUCGGAAGUAUGAAGUCAUCAAAAGCUGGCUUCACAAAUUUUGAGUACUGAUCGAGGACUGCGCCAAUAUCUCUACCCUUCUCAACAGUAUCACGCCUUAUUCUUCUUGCCAGACGUACAUCAGCAUCUGUAUCAACAAAUAUCUUCAUAUUCAUCAAAUCUCGAACACGAGGAUCAUGGAAAACAAGUAUGCCUUCCAAUAUUAUAACAUCUGAAGGAUUGACCCUUCUUGCAGGAAAAACAUCAUUUUUGUAACUCUUGAAGUCAUAGUUUGGAAUAUCUACUGCUUGCCCAUGCCUCAACUUCUCCAUAUCACAUAAUAGUUGUUCAGUAUCAAAUGCAUCCGGAUGGUCAAAGUUAUAUUCAUGAACUCGUGUAAGUUCCUCUUCAGUCAGAUUGUGGUAAAAUGAAUCCUGGUUAACAAGUACAACACGCUGAUCAUGAAGUUGCUGAAUAAUCAUAUCACAAACUGUAGUCUUUCCAGAAGCCGCCCCCCCAGCAACCCCAAUGACAAAAGGUUGCUUAUAUAUCUUUUCAGUUGAAGAGGUUGUUGGUUGCCCCAUCUCUGUAUUCCUUGACUCCAAACCAUCCAUAUGAAACCCAGAAAAAUGGACCCCAGAGGAUGCCUCUAUCAUAUCCACAACUGAUUUAGAACCCAUUGGAAUAGACCUUAUGUAAACUCGAAUCAGAAACGAAUGGAGAGGUAGAGAGAUUCAAUUUACCUUUAUUUUAUCGUAAUUAUUUUUGUUAAAAAAAAAAUUCAAUCAUUAUUAUUAUUACCAAUAUUAGAGAGAAAAAAACGAGAGAGAGAGCAAUUCCGAGCUGAGCCAAUC